UACGAAGGGGGCUAGCGUUGCUCGGAAUUACUGGGCGUAAAGCGCACGUAGGCGGUCUUUUAAGUCGGGGGUGAAAUCCUGGAGCUCAACUCCAGAACUGCCUCGAUACUGGAAGACUUGAGUCCGGGAGAGGUGAGUGGAACUGCGAGUGUAGAGGUGAAAUUCGUAGAUAUUCGCAAGAACACCAGUGGCGAAGGCGGCUCACUGGCCCGGUACUGACGCUGAGGUGCGAAAGCGUGGGGAGCAACAGG
rnacentral:rRNA from 1 species